rnacentral:rRNA from 1 species
UUGAACGCUGGCGGUAUGCUUUACACAUGCAAGUCGAACGGCAGCACGGGGGCAACCCUGGUGGCGAGUGGCGAACGGGUGAGUAACAUAUCGGAACAUAUCCGGAAGUGGGGGAUAACGUAGCGAAAGUUACGCUAAUACCGCAUAUGCCCUGAGGGGGAAAGGGGGGGAUCGCAAGACCUCUCGCUUUCGGAGUGGCCGAUAUCGGAUUAGCUAGAUGGUGAGGUAAAGGCUCACCAUGGCGACGAUCCGUAGCUGGUCUGAGAGGACGACCAGCCACACUGGAACUGAGACACGGUCCAGACUCCUACGGGAGGCAGCAGUGGGGAAUUUUGGACAAUGGGGGCAACCCUGAUCCAGCCAUUCCGCGUGAGUGAAGAAGGCCUUCGGGUUGUAAAGCUCUUUCGGCAGGAACGAAACGGUGGAGGCUAAUACCUUUCAUCAAUGACGGUACCUGAAGAAGAAGCACCGGCUAACUACGU